UACGGAGGGUGCGAGCGUUGUCCGGAAUCACUGGGCGUAAAGGGCGCGUAGGCGGCGCGGGCAGUCAACGGUGAAAGCUCGGAGCUCAACUCCGAGUCGGCCGUCGAUACUCCCGUGCUUGAGCACUGUAGAGGCAGGUGGAAUUCCGGGUGUAGCGGUGGAAUGCGUAGAGAUCCGGAAGAACACCGGUGGCGAAGGCGGCCUGCUGGGCCAGUAGCUGACGCUGAGGCGCGAAAGCAUGGGGAGCG
rnacentral:rRNA from 1 species